UCUGUUUAGUAUUCACUUCUACGCAUAUGCAGCUCUACUUACCAGAGUUCUGCCGAACAUUGCUCUGAAUUCAUACUAGUUCAGUUCUCAGGUCAGGCUUUCUCUAACAUAUCCAUCCUUUUUCAUUCCAGGUCCACCACAAAUGCCAAUAAGCAUGCAGAAAGGAAUACAUGAAUCAAAAUUUCUGAUUGACAGGGAAUGAUAAAGAAGUCCAAAUAAAACCAGCAAACCAUCUCUCAUGACAAGUAGUUACCAGGCAGAUAUUGGUGAUUUAAGAGGUAAAACUAAGUAUUUACCCACUAUAACUGCCUCACAAAGAGGUUGACUGGUCAUCCAUGACAAGGCCUUAUAAUUUUUCCGGACCUUGGAUCAACCUGGUCUCAGAAUCGGAUCCAUGUUAUGGACAAGUCUAGAGGCAGAGAUUUCAAGUACAGGUCAGAACUGGGUAUGCUCAAUGCACCUUAGGCACUAUGAUCAUUGGUUUCCAUAACAAUAAAAUGUAUGGAGAAUAUAUGUAAUGGACAAGUGCAUAAAAUGUCUUUUUCUAUGCACAUGUCCAGCAAAUUUAGUAGAAAUGGAACACCCGGUAAUGUCACAUCUAGUCUCUCAACCCAUAUAACUGGGACAAGGGUAGUUGAUUAUUGCUUGAUGCAGGAUCAUGAGGCUCUAUCAUCUAGUGAGGCACUGAUUUCCAGGUCCAUAUCAAACAAUACUACUACAAGGAAAAUAAUAGUAAUUGACAUCGGUGACAGAAAAGUACAGAUGGUGGUGCCUCCACAAGAUUGUUAAGAUAACAAAUGUGGUCCCCUGCAUGCAAAAUGGAGGAAAAAAAAGAGAGAGAAGGAUGAAGGUCCCUUAUGAAUCAGUGCCAUUUCAUAAGAGCAAUGAUUGAAAAGAUGUGCAAGAAUGCUCCUACAUCACUUAUCCUACCUGUAUAUUUAGGAUCUGUUGUGUCUGUUGAAGCUAACUACUGCCAAUGAAGUGAUUUCUUCAGUUUUAAGUUCCAAGCUCCUCUGAAUUGGGAUGCAUUCACAUCUUCUCUUAUGCACACUUCAGACGAUUGAAUUCUUGCAGUCCAACUGCCCUUGGCAAUGUCUACAAAAUCAUUCCAGAAAGAAAAACAAAUCAUAGCUCUUAUGUCUUGUUGUUCAGUUCAGUGGACCUUCAUGUGACACUUCAGGGUGUUCACUUCAUGAUGUAGUGGAUUGAGACUAUCUUUAGUCAUGGAAAUCAUUAUUAUUAUCAUCUUCUCCCUCAUUUUUUAUUGUCAUGUUAUUAGCCUCCAAGGGGAAUUAAC
rnacentral:lncRNA from 1 species